rnacentral:lncRNA from 1 species
UCCUCAGGAUUUAACUUGACAACGGCCUUGAGAACUAGAGGAAGCUUAUUAAAGUUGUCAUAUUCAUCCAGUUGAAUUGGUUUACUAGAUUACUCACCUCCUUAGUGCAACACUAAUUUCCACUAGGUGCUAGAACCACUUAACAAUUACGGAUUCGAGGAGUUCAACUAGUUGUUUGCUGAUUCUCUACUGCUCAACAGGCCCUAUUCAAACAGAUUGAAAACCGCAAAUAGGUAUAGGUGC